CUUGAUAAAUCUAGUGUUCUUUGUUCAAUGUUCAGUUUUGACUUCUUUGUAGCCCAUGACAUUAUUGAUUAGCCUCUUCUUCUCUUUGUAUUCUCUGCCCUCUAGGAUUUUAGGAUAGCAGUCUAUCCUAGUUCUACUAUCUGACUGCUCCUCAGUCUCGUUUAUUACAUUAUAGCCCUGGUUUCCCUUUAGACUACUUACACUUACUGAUGACUCUAAUCUACUUAUCGUGCCCUAACCUGUAAGCUCACAUCUUCAAUUGCCUUGUAUAAGGCAAUUUCAGACUGCAUUAUCCAGUAGACAAAUUUACCAUGUCCAAAACUGAAUUGAUUAUUCCCCCAAAUCUUUUCCCUCACCCCAGCUUCCCUAUUCCCUCAGUCCUACAGCUUGGGUAUCAUUCAUAACUCUUCUAUUUCUCAACAUUGUUCUAUGCUAUUUCCAAGCCACUUGAUUCACCUUUGCAACAAUUCUAGCAUAUGCUCCCCUUCUAAGAAUGCCAUCACCCUGGUUCAGGUCCCCUGCUUUGACUGCUACAAUAGCCUUCUGGUUGUUGUGCUACCCAAAGUCUUCCCUACUCCAACCCAUUCAGCUGCCAGAGUGAUUCUAAUUCCACACACAGGUUGGACCAUGAAAAUCCUCUCUUCCCCACCAACACACAGGCAAACACGUAAACAUACAUAGAUACACACACACACACACACACACACACACACACUUAAAUACCAGUGGCUCCCUAUUGCUCCCAGGAUCAAAUACAAAAUCCUUUGAUGUUCCAAGGACCUUUAAAACUUAGCUCCAUUACCCCCAAUUUUGCAGUCUUUACAAUUUACUCCUUGCUAAGUACUCUUUGAUCUAAUGAUUCUGAUCUUGUUUUAAGAAAAAGAUACUUCUGGCUAUCUUACUUUUUCUCUUCUCUGCCUCUGGGUUUCUCUGGCUUCAAGACCCAAAUAAAAUACCAUCUACAGAAAGCCUUUCCCAAAUCUUAAUUCUAAUGUUUCCAGUUUCUAUUUUUCCUGUAUAUAAUUUAUUUGACGUUAAUUGCUUGAUUUCUUCUUUCUUUCUUGGCUUUUAAUCUUGC
rnacentral:lncRNA from 1 species